rnacentral:rRNA from 5 species
GUGUAAGUAAGUGUUUAAGGGCGCAU